AACCGGUUAAUAAUUUAUUUUUUAAUAAACCAUAACAAAAUCGGUUUAUUAUAGCAACAAUAAUAAAUCCAAUUAUUCACAUUAUAAUUAUUAGACUCUAUUUGAUCCGAUCGAUUUACACAAUCUGAACCGAAUCAUGUUUAAAUUUUUUGAUAAAAAGAUAAAUACAUUCCUAACUUUUUGUUUCGCGGACAUUUAAAUCCCUAAAAAUUUAAAAAUAUAAUUAGGACCCUAUCCCCUUGCCCUAGCCCAAGAAUAAGCCCAAUCUCUCAAUAACCUCUCAAGCUGACCCAAAAAAAGAAAAAAAAUCUAGCCCUCAGCAUCUCCUUCCUCUCCCUUUCUCACUGAAGCUCGAGCUCCUCAUCUCUUUGCUCACUGGCUCUCGCAAUCUCAAGCUCUCUUCCUCUCUCGUCUCCGGUCUCGCACCCAAGGUCCUAGUUGCUUCCAUGUCGUCAGUCGUCACUGUCUCGCACUCAGUCGCGCUCGCACGCCUUCCCUGAGCUCGUCGUCGCCGGCAGGAGAAGUAGCCGGUCCCAAGGCUAAUUGUUGGAACUAAAUAGAGAUGGACAUGUCUCCUUUGACAAUUUCAAAAUGGAGCUUCCUUUAGAGGAGCAGAUAAGAUUGAUCAAGAAAGCAACACUGUUGCUGGAAUCACAGCUGGUGCCACAAGUAUCUCCAAAGAGUGAGAAUUUGGCUGCAGCUUCUGCUGACAACAUAGAUGCAAAGCCUAAAUCCAAGCCUAUCGACAAACAGGUAAUACUUUAAUAGUCAGUGUUGUAGGAAGUUUCUCUUUAUUUUGAAAUCACAUUUAGGUCAUGUGUGAAUUAGUAAUUACUAAUUAAGUAUUUGGGUUUGGAAUCAUGACACUGGGGGUUGGUUGGAAAACUUAAUCAUUCUUCUGUAUUUGGUAAUUACUGAUGGAUGACAUAAGUUGGUUUGAGUUAGCAAUAGAAGCAGCUGAUCAACAAGCCAUAAUUAACACAUUAUUAGAACAAGAAAUCAAAAUACGAACCAUUUUAUAAUAGAAAAUUUUCACACAAACAUAAAUUUAAUACAUAAUCUGACAUGUACGAAUAUAUAUAAUAAUUUAUGAAUCUCACCUAACAUUUAUGCUUGAACAUUAAACUUGUGUAUAAAUUUAUAGCAAUACUUGGAGCAUCAACUAGCUGCUGCCUCCAUAAUCAACAUAAGACAUAAAUAUAAAACUAUACAAACAAGUAGAAAACACUUGUGGAGAGAGGCAGAACAUGAUAGAAUUGCAAGCUACUAGCUAGCUAUAUGUGCUAGUUUUAUUCUCAGUCAUAUCCAAUACAUUAGAUACACCAUAGUUAUAUUGAUGAAUAUAAUUUUGUGAAUGAAGAAAAAUAGUUGAGGAAAUUGCUAGAGAUUGAGGAAGACAAACUCUUCCAUAGCAGAAAAGAUAUAAGCAACUUGAUGAAUCUUUAAAUAGAAGUCCUAUUUUUAUUUACGUCUCAACCUGCUAAUGGUCGUAUUUUGGUCUUCAUUCCAAUUCUUAUCUUCAUUUAUUGAAUAAAGGGCAGCGGCAAAGAAGUCUUAAUCAAAACAAGGAUAUACCUUGUUAGUUGUUAGUGGAUAUCUAAAUAACAUUGAUUCUUCAAAUGUAUUCAGUUUUAUUUUCUAUUUGUUAUUUUACAAAGAUGAAGUUGUUUGUCAUUGUCUUUCCUAUUAGCUUUGGGUACUUUGAUCCAUUUAAAAUAUUACUGGCAAACCAAUUAUUUAGAUUAAAUAUCUCUAAACUUUUAUCCUGUUUUUUUUUUUUUUUAAAAAGAGUCUCUUAUAGGUGAAGGUCUUCUUUGAGAAAUGUGAAUUUUUAAAGUACAGAUUUAAUUUUCUGGCUGUUUGUUCUUUUAUUAUAUUGUUUUGUUAAUGUGUGCCUUGAAUUGUGGCGAAGGAAUGACUAUGAUAUUUGGAUCGCUCAAUGGAUGGUCCUCAACCACUAUUGGAGACCCGAUAAGACAUGAGCAAGAAAAACGUCAUUGUUUAUGAAGUUAAGUUUAUUCAAUUAUCUAAUAUCAUUGUUAAUGUCUGUUAGAAUGUCAAUAAUUACUCAAGGAUGCAACUGACGGUGGAUUUGGUGUAUGGCGAGUACAACUUGAAGCAGGAUAUGAUAAAGGAGCUCGCUGUAGCUGACUGGAAUAAAAAGAUGCAGUGAUCUGCUUCAGACUUGGAAUUUUAUGAUACUUUUUAUUAGAACUUAAUUAAUCGUAAUCGUGUCUUUCAAGAACUAACACAUUUAUUUAGUUAAAAUAGUUACGGAUUGAAUUAGGCUAUUUUAAUUUCUUUUGAAGAAUAAAUUAUCUUUAUAUUUUGGACUAUUUAGAUAUAUAUUGAUCUUUUUAUUUAUAAUGAUUUAUAUAUUAUUUUUUAGAGCAACAAA
rnacentral:lncRNA from 1 species